AGAACGAACGCUGGCGGCAUGCCUAACACAUGCAAGUCGAACGCGUGUAGCGAUACACGAGUGGCGGACGGGUGAGUAACGCGUGGGAACCUGCCCUGGAGUGUGGGAUAACCGAGGGAAACUUCGGCUAAUACCGCAUACGACCUGAGGGUGAAAGAUUUAUCGCUCUAGGAGGGGCCCGCGUCGGAUUAGCUAGUUGGUGGGGUAAAGGCCUACCAAGGCAGUGAUCCGUAGCUGGUCUGAGAGGAUGAUCAGCCACACUGGGACUGAGACACGGCCCAGACUCCUACGGGAGGCAGCAGUGGGGAAUAUUGGACAAUGGGGGCAACCCUGAUCCAGCAAUGCCGCGUGAGUGAUGAAGGCCUUAGGGUUGUAAAGCUCUUUCGCGCGCGACGAUGAUGACGGUAGCGGGAGAGAGCCCCGGCUAACUUCGCGCCAGCAGCCGC
rnacentral:rRNA from 1 species